rnacentral:rRNA from 1 species
CGCUGGCGGCGUGCCUAAUACAUGCAAGUAGAACGCUGAAGAGAGGAGCUUGCUCUUCUUGGAUGAGUUGCGAACGGGUGAGUAACGCGUAGGUAACCUGCCUUGUAGCGGGGGAUAACUAUUGGAAACGAUAGCUAAUACCGCAUAACAAUGGAUGACACAUGUCAUUUAUUUGAAAGGGGCAAAUGCUCCACUACAAGAUGGACCUGCGUUGUAUUAGCUAGUAGGUGAGGUAACGGCUCACCUAGGCGACGAUACAUAGCCGACCUGAGAGGGUGAUCGGCCACACUGGGACUGAGACACGGCCCAGACUCCUACGGGAGGCAGCAGUAGGGAAUCUUCGGCAAUGGGGGCAACCCUGACCGAGCAACGCCGCGUGAGUGAAGAAGGUUUUCGGAUCGUAAAGCUCUGUUGUAAGUCAAGAACGAGUGUGAGAGUGGAAAGUUCACACUGUGACGGUAGCUUACCAGAAAGGGACGGCUAACUACGUGCCAGCAGCCGCGGUAAUACGUAGGUCCCGAGCGUUGUCCGGAUUUAUUGGGCGUAAAGCGAGCGCAGGCGGUUUGAUAAGUCUGAAGUUAAAGGCUGUGGCUCAACCAUAGUUCGCUUUGGAAACUGUCAAACUUGAGUGCAGAAGGGGAGAGUGGAAUUCCAUGUGUAGCGGUGAAAUGCGUAGAUAUAUGGAGGAACACCGGUGGCGAAAGCGGCUCUCUGGUCUGUAACUGACGCUGAGGCUCGAAAGCGUGGGGAGCGAACAGGAUUAGAUACCCUGGUAGUCCACGCCGUAAACGAUGAGUGCUAGGUGUUGGAUCCUUUCCGGGAUUCAGUGCCGCAGCUAACGCAUUAAGCACUCCGCCUGGGGAGUACGACCGCAAGGUUGAAACUCAAAGGAAUUGACGGGGGCCCGCACAAGCGGUGGAGCAUGUGGUUUAAUUCGAAGCAACGCGAAGAACCUUACCAGGUCUUGACAUCCCGAUGCUAUUUCUAGAGAUAGAAAGUUACUUCGGUACAUCGGUGACAGGUGGUGCAUGGUUGUCGUCAGCUCGUGUCGUGAGAUGUUGGGUUAAGUCCCGCAACGAGCGCAACCCCUAUUGUUAGUUGCCAUCAUUCAGUUGGGCACUCUAGCGAGACUGCCGGUAAUAAACCGGAGGAAGGUGGGGAUGACGUCAAAUCAUCAUGCCCCUUAUGACCUGGGCUACACACGUGCUACAAUGGUUGGUACAACGAGUUGCGAGUCGGUGACGGCAAGCUAAUCUCUUAAAGCCAAUCUCAGUUCGGAUUGUAGGCUGCAACUCGCCUACAUGAAGUCGGAAUCGCUAGUAAUCGCGGAUCAGCACGCCGCGGUGAAUACGUUCCCGGGCCUUGUACACACCGCCCGUCACACCACGAGAGUUUGUAACACCCGAAGUCGGUGAGGUAACCUUUUGGAGCCAGCCGCCUAAGGUGGGAUAGAUGAUUGGGGU